rnacentral:rRNA from 1 species
GAUUAAGUUAUUAAGGGCGCACGGUGGAUGCCUUGGCACUAGAAGCCGACGAAGGACGUUACUAACGACGAUAUGCUUUGGGGAGCUGUAAGUAAGCUUUGAUCCAGAGAUUUCCGAAUGGGGAAACCCAGCACGAGUUAUGUCGUGUUAUCGAUAUGUGAAUACAUAGCAUAUCUGAAGGCAGACGCGGAGAACUGAAACAUCUUAGUACCCGCAGGAAGAGAAAGAAAAAUCGAUUCCCUGAGUAGCGGCGAGCGAAACGGGAAGAGCCCAAACCAAUGAGCUUGCUUGUUGGGGUUGUAGGACACUCUAUACGGAGUUACAAAAGAACAGACUAGACGAAUCAUCUGGAAAGAUGAAUCAAAGAAGGUAAUAAUCCUGUAGUCGAAAGUUUGUUCACUCUUGAGUGGAUCCUGAGUACGACGGAACACGAGAAAUUCCGUCGGAAUCUGGGAGGACCAUCUCCCAAGGCUAAAUACUCUCUAGUGACCGAUAGUGAACCAGUACCGUGAGGGAAAGGUGAAAAGUACCCGGAAGGGGAGUGAAAUAGAACUUGAAACCGUGUGCUUACAAGUAGUCAGAGCCCGUUAAUGGGUGAUGGCGUGCCUUUUGUAGAAUGAACCGGCGAGUUACGAUUUGAUGCAAGGUUAAGCAGUGAAUGUGGAGCCGUAGCGAAAGCGAGUCUGAAUAGGGCGUUGAGUAUUUGGUCGUAGACCCGAAACCAGGUGAUCUACCCAUGACCAGGUUGAAGUUCAGGUAACACUGAAUGGAGGACCGAACCGACUUACGUUGAAAAGUGAGCGGAUGAGUUGUGGGUAGCGGAGAAAUUCCAAUCGAACCUGGAGAUAGCUGGUUCUCUCCGAAAUAGCUUUAGGGCUAGCCUCAAGUGAUGAUUAUUGGAGGUAGAGCACUGUUUGGACGAGGGGCCCUUAUCGGGUUACCGAAUUCAGACAAACUCCGAAUGCCAAUCAAUUUAACUUGGGAGUCAGAACGCGGGUGAUAAGGUCCGUGUUCGAAAGGGAAACAGCCCAGACCACCAGCUAAGGUCCCAAAAUAUAUGUUAAGUGGAAAAGGAUGUGGCGUUGCCCAGACAACUAGGAUGUUGGCUUAGAAGCAGCCAUCAUUUAAAGAGUGCGUAAUAGCUCACUAGUCGAGUGACACUGCGCCGAAAAUGUACCGGGGCUAAACAUAUUACCGAAGCUGUGGAUUGUCCGUAAGGACAAUGGUAGGAGAGCGUUCUAAGGGCGUUGAAGCAUGAUCGCAAGGACAUGUGGAGCGCUUAGAAGUGAGAAUGCCGGUGUGAGUAGCGAAAGACGGGUGAGAAUCCCGUCCACCGAUUGACUAAGGUUUCCAGAGGAAGGCUCGUCCGCUCUGGGUUAGUCGGGUCCUAAGCUGAGGCCGAUAGGCGUAGGCGAUGGAUAACAGGUUGAUAUUCCUGUACCACCAUUAUUCGUUUUAAGCGAUGGGGGACGCAGUAGGAUAGGCGAAGCGUACGAUUGGAUUGUACGUCCAAGCAGUGAGAUUGAGUGUUAGGCAAAUCCGGCACUCUUAAGAUUGAGCUGUGAUGGGGAGAGGAAAUUGUUUCCUCGAGUCGUUGAUUUCACACUGCCAAGAAAAGCCUCUAGCUAGAAUUGUGGUGCCCGUACCGCAAACCGACACAGGUAGUCAAGAUGAGAAUUCUAAGGUGAGCGAGCGAACUCUCGUUAAGGAACUCGGCAAAAUGACCCCGUAACUUCGGGAGAAGGGGUGCUCUUUAGGGUUAACGCCCAGGAGAGCCGCAGUGAAUAGGCCCAAGCGACUGUUUAUCAAAAACACAGGUCUCUGCUAAACCGUAAGGUGAUGUAUAGGGGCUGACGCCUGCCCGGUGCUGGAAGGUUAAGAGGAGUGGUUAGCUUCUGCGAAGCUACGAAUCGAAGCCCCAGUAAACGGCGGCCGUAACUAUAACGGUCCUAAGGUAGCGAAAUUCCUUGUCGGGUAAGUUCCGACCCGCACGAAAGGCGUAACGAUUUGGGCACUGUCUCAACGAGAGACUCGGUGAAAUCAUAGUACCUGUGAAGAUGCAGGUUACCCGCGACAGGACGGAAAGACCCCGUGGAGCUUUACUGUAGUCUGAUAUUGAAAUUCGGCACAGCUUGUACAGGAUAGGUAGGAGCCUGAGAUACGUGAGCGCUAGCUUACGUGGAGGCGUUGGUGGGAUACUACCCUCGCUGUGUUGGAUUUCUAACCCGCACCAUUUAUCAUGGUGGGAGACAGUGUCAGAUGGGCAGUUUGACUGGGGCGGUCGCCUCCUAAAGAGUAACGGAGGCGCUCAAAGGUUUCCUCAGAAUGGUUGGAAAUCAUUCAUAGAGUGUAAAGGCAUAAGGAAGCUUGACUGCGAGACUUACAAGUCGAGCAGGGUCGAAAGACGGACUUAGUGAUCCGGUGGUUCCGCAUGGAAGGGCCAUCGCUCAACGGAUAAAAGCUACCCGGGGAUAACAGGCUUAUCUCCCCAAGAGUUCACAUCGACGGGGAGGUUUGGCACCUCGAUGUCGGCUCAUCGCAUCCUGGGGCUGUAGUCGGUCCCAAGGGUUGGGCUGUUCGCCCAUUAAAGCGGUACGCGAGCUGGGUUCAGAACGUCGUGAGACAGUUCGGUCCCUAUCCGUCGUGGGCGUAGGAAAUUUGAGAGGAGCUGUCCUUAGUACGAGAGGACCGGGAUGGACAUACCUCUGGUGUACCAGUUGUCGUGCCAACGGCAUCGCUGGGUAGCUAUGUAUGGACGGGAUAAGUGCUGAAAGCAUCUAAGCAUGAAGCCCCCCUCAAGAUGAGAUUUCCCAACUUCGGUUAUAAGAUCCCUCAAAGAUGAUGAGGUUAAUAGGUUCGAGGUGGAAGCAUAGCGAUAUGUGCAGCUGACGAAUACUAAUCGAUCGAAGACUUAAUCAA